rnacentral:rRNA from 1 species
UACGUAGGGGGCAAGCGUUGUCCGGAAUCAUUGGGCGUAAAGAGCGUGUAGGCGGCCAGAAAAGUCCGCUGUGAAAACUCGAGGCUCAACUUCGAGCUGUCGGUGGAAACUUUCUGGCUAGAGUCCGGAAGAGGAGAAUGGAAUUCCUGGUGUAGCGGUGAAAUGCGCAGAUAUCAGGAAGAACACCCGUGGCGAAGGCGGUUCUCUGGGACGGUACUGACGCUGAGGAGUGAAAGCGUGGGGAGCAAACAGG